rnacentral:rRNA from 1 species
UAUCCUAGGGGGGCAGCAGUAGGGAAUCUUCCACAAUGGGCGAAAGCCUGAUGGAGCAACGCCGCGUGGGUGAAGAAGGUCUUCAGAUCGUAAAACCCUGUUGUUAGAGAAGAAAGUGCGUGAGAGUAACUGUUCACGUUUCGACGGUAUCUAACCAGAAAGCCACGGCUAACUACGUGCCAGCAGCCGCGGUAAUACGUAGGUGGCAAGCGUUAUCCGGAUUUAUUGGGCGUAAAGGGAACCCAGGCGGUCUUUUAAGUCUGAUGUGAAAGCCUCCGGCUUAACCGGAGGAGUGCAUUGGAAAC